ACAAUUGAGAAAAUAUAAUACGGUAUGAUUAGAUGAAAACCAAAAUUUCCAGCAGUUACCACGAUCUCCACGAAGAACGACUACCAGGGCGUACGAUUGGAAACUGAAGACGGACGUGGGAGAUGAUCGGAGGAGAGAUGGCUUCAUCACUAUUCACCCCACUCUCAAUCUACGGUUCAUAUAAAAGGAGAAAAGGGAAAGAGGAGCAGAGCAAAUUCAAACCCAGAAAGAGGAAAAAAUUGGUAUCAAAAUCGGUGAUUGCAGAAAAGGUAUUGUGUGCAGAGUGGAUUCUCGAUCAAACCCAAAAGGCAGAGUAAAAUAGGUGUAACUCGGGCGACAGAGUGGCAGAUUCAGUGGAGUGGGUGGUUACCAGAAGUUACUCAUGACCUCUUCGUGCAAAUUAUGCUUCCAAAAAAUUAAUCCAUGAGGCAGGGGCUCUCGACACAGUUCCUGUAAAUGUAUGGGAGAAUUCUAGACAUUGUGAAACUUGGUUUCCUCUAAUAUUAGUUGCAGGUAGAGAAGGUACUGUUUGAUUGAGAAUCUGCAGUAAAUUGGUUUUGCUGAAUAAGGAACUAACAUACAAAGAGAACUCAUAGGGGUAGCACUGAAAGCAGAUCGAUAAGGACCUGUUGAUCCAUAUUCAAGCCAAGAGUGAGUGGAAUCAUGUUCAGUUUGAAUGAAAAUUUGAUUUGAGGAGUAAUCAACCAUUGACUCUCCCUUUUGUGUUGCAUAUUCCUGAUCAUUGGUUCCAGAUCACUUUUUCUUUCGGUUUGCUCAGUUGUUCUUCUUCUACUUAAAAUGGAUAGUGGGCCGAGAAGUGACCGUGGAGCUCAAGAACGACUUUGUGAUUAGGGGUACUCUUCACUCUGUCAAUCAGUGUGCCUCAAUUCUCUUUGCUAAUUUACUCUUUCUUACGUGCUUGUGAGAUGUGCAGAGCUGGUGAGAUUGUAGUAUGUUUAGGUUCUUCGGCUUUUGUUCCUGACUAUGAGUUACUUAUGUUGGAUUUAGUAAGAUCGACCACCGUGGAGGGAAGCAGCAAAGGAGAAUAUAUUGGUUACUGGUCAGCAUAUAUAUAUAUAUAUAUAUAUAUAUAUAUUUCAAGAAGUAAAAGAAGAUAGUAAGUAUUGCUGGAAGCACCACAGUUGUAGGUGAUGUUUUGUUUUAUUUGGGCCAGGUUCCUUCAUCACGCUCUCACACACCUAAUGACGACCAGGGACCUAACCCUAUUCAUGUACAAGAGGUAGAAAGGCAGAGUAGAAAUAAUCCCCAGGGAGAGACGAGACAAUCAAUGAGUUCUUCACUCUCUGUUUCAUCACACUCUUCCCGACCCAAUGAAGACCAGGGACACGCUUAGCUUCAUGCAUUAGAGGUGAAAGGCAGCGUAGAAAUAAUCGUCAAAGAGAGAGACGACAAUUAUUGAGUUCUUCGCAACAAGAGGAAAGUUUAGCCCGAAGACGUGCCAAUUAUCAAAGACUACAGCAAAUGGAGGCCACAAGUGUAUCAAAUCAAGUGGAAGCAAUGGCCGGUAACUUACCGAGUGCAUGUUCUGAAACACAAACAUCUUCAACGUAUUGUAUACGUGUUUUGCAUAAUUUUCUUUCUA